CUAGUAUUAACUCCCAUUUUCUUGCUGGAACUAUUGUCUUCAACCUUCCUUGCCAAUGCCACAACUUCUAUGAGUUGUUUCGGGCAGAACUCUUCAAAAUAUUCAGCUACUGCCCAAGACCCUUGAGAACAAUGUUGGUAUUGUUUGUGGAGCAAUUGUUAAUAAUUAACUGUUAGAAGUCGACUCUUCUUUAUUUUUCUUGGUGAAAGCUUAGAUUCUUAAAAGAAAAAAGAAAAGUAUAUUGUAUUGUAUGCCUUGAUUCUGUCUUCUUACUUCCUGAAAAAUAAUGUGUUUAUUAUUAACGGAUUAUAUAUCAUGAUUGAUGUAUCAACUUUGUGACUAGUGGUUUGUGACUACAUAUAUUUUCGAGUCUUUUGACAUGGAAAUCCAUAAUUCACAUAUUCGUUGUCUUGCUAUAUAGGGGUACCCGAAACAUACAUUAUAGAGUUUAUAACCUUGUAUUUUACAUUUCUAUGAGUACAUUCGUUAUCUCAAAAUUCUUUUUACCUAAAAA